CCGAAUCUGUUCUAAAUCAAGAUUAUUAUCAUCCGAAAUUCCGAAUUUAAUUUGCACACAAGACAGUAUAAAUCAACAAUUCAAAGAAAAAAAAGAAGAAUUUAAACCAUUAAAAGGAUAGCCAUUAGGUAGAAUUUCACACGAAGAGCAGUCAGUCAACCAAGCUUCUCUUUGCCUGAAUUGCCGGAAGCAUUCGGCCACUUUUCAUGAACUGCAGAUCAGAUAGAAUUUUUGUUGCAUCCAUUCUGGAAGAUGUACUUAAUAUCUGAUUUCGAUUUGGACUAAAAGAAAAUAUGCAACUGAAUCUGACUGAAUGAAAAUAAAAAAGUACCCAAAAGAAAGAACUGCAGCUCUAACGAAUGCAGAUAAAAUCAUCACCCAUUGUGUUCUGAGACAAAGAGAAUCUAUGGUGAUUGAUUUAUAUCCAACGGUGCCAGCGGUGACGUCCCACGCGCGACGAUGACGGUGGAUCGAGCUCCCACAGCCAUGAGCCUCUAAGUGGCCGGUCGAUGGCAAUUCGGCCGUUUCAGGUGACGGGAAUGGCCAGUUUUUCGUGCUACAAACGGCGGCGUUCCGGUGGGUUUUUUGCUACGCUGACGGCUGGGAUAUAAUGCCCAGUCUUUAAGCUUCCAAUUGAUACCUUGCUCGGCCGGUGAGGUGGCCGGAAUCGUGAAAAACAACCUGUUCGGUUCUCGGGUGCGGGACGGGUUUUUGGUAGCUGCUUCUUUUAUUUUUAUUUAUU
rnacentral:lncRNA from 1 species